UACGAAGGGGGCUAGCGUUGCUCGGAAUCACUGGGCGUAAAGGGUGCGUAGGCGGGUUUUUAAGUCAGGGGUGAAAUCCUGGAGCUCAACUCCAGAACUGCCUUUGAUACUGAAGAUCUUGAGUUCGGGAGAGGUGAGUGGAACUGCGAGUGUAGAGGUGAAAAUUCGUAGAUAUUCGCAAGAACACCAGUGGCGAAGGCGGCUCACUGGCCCGAUACUGACGCUGAUGCACGAAAGCGUGGGGAGCAAACAGG
rnacentral:rRNA from 1 species